rfam:Desulfitobacterium metallireducens DSM 15288, complete genome.
GAAUUAAAUAGCAAUCCGCUGUAGACAGCAGGGGCUGAAAAGCUUAAUAGCCUGCCGAGGUUGGAGAAUUGAUCCCUAAUACUGGGCAUUCUUAACCUCUGCAUACGCGGAGGUUUUUAUUUCUUUAU